GAAUAAGGUUCGAUUCGAGCGAAAGCGAGAAAGCGUUGCCGCAGGCAACGACCCGAAGGGCGAAGCGCGCAGCGCUGAGUAAUCCUUCCCCCACCACCA
rnacentral:sRNA from 1 species